rnacentral:rRNA from 1 species
CUUGUUGGUUUCUUUUGCUGUCAAAGCCUGAUCUUAUCAGAUCUCAGAAGCUAAGCAAAGCUGGGUGUGGUUAGUACUUGGAUAGGAGAGAGCUGGGAAUACCAGGUGCCAGAGAGG